rnacentral:pre_miRNA from 1 species
AUGAAGUGUGACAUGCCCGUUUGGGUUAUUACUCUAAUGAAUUAUUUAUUAAUUAAUUCCUUUGGGAUAACGGGGUGUUACAUCCUA